GCUAUUUGGAAAUAGAGAUGAUCGUAUUCCAGAAAUUCCAAUAGCAUUUUAGCUCUGUUGUCCAGGUAUAAGCAGACAUGGGCUAAGUAUAGAGUAAACUACCAUAAGGAAAAAUGAUGUCCAAAUGAACUUUCAUGUUAAGCCCAAUUGUGUGAAACUUUCCAGCUCCUGGCUUCCUUUUGAAGUCUGGGCCUCAAGCAAAGGCCCAAAUGAACGAGGAAAAAUGCCAUGAGCUUAUAAGGAAAUUUUCGCUGCACCUAGCCCAUGACACGUUUAUUCACAGACAUGGUUGGCCAGAAAUGAAAGCAGGCACAAUUAAUCUACUAAACUAAUUGAACCAUGAUUAAAUACUUUCAGUAAACUGAAUUGAUGCUAGAUUUAAACACGAUUGACAACUAAUUCAUACAUAUGAAAAUCUGAGAUAGAAUAUACAUUAGAGUGAUGCUUUAAGCUAGUUACAUAAUCAAAUGAACUGAUAGUUUUCUACAAUGGCCACAUCUCGUGAUCCUUUUGGCUUGUUAGAGCUUUGUGACAAAAUAGCUACAAAUCUAUCCUCACUUGUUAAAUUCAAACACUAUGCUGAGCAAAUUGAAAGAAAGCAUGAAACCAGAUUCCUGCAUCACUUCACAAUUAAGUGUACAUAAUGAGGCUCGCACACCAUUCAGGAAGAAAGAAAAGAAAAAAAGAAGACAGAAUGACAUUCAAACAGAUGCUAAAUCACCUAUUGACAUUCAACAAACCACUCACAUGAUCUUAACAUUCCAACAAUUACACAUAUUAACAAAGAUGAAAACUACAAUAGAUUUAGACUUUAAACAUGCUGAAACUACUAAAACAUUGCAAGAGUAUAGCAUAACCAACCCAACUUCAUUUAGAAUUCAAGUAGAAGCUAACAAGGUGGAAAACGCACCUACUAGCAGUGAAACAGAGAAACACGGAGCAAUCUGAACUUCAAAGCUACAGCUCAAACCAGCAGAAUGAAUACAACAGCAAAAAUAAUGAGUUUUUCAACUCAAACAGCUAUGGAAACCAAGAUAUAUGCAAUAACAGAGUAGGAAUAAAACACAACUUUGAAUCUUCUUUUUGUUUUUGGGUUUUUUCUGUAUUUAGAUGGAAUUUUCAUAAUGUUUUCUUUGAGGGAAAUCAGUGAGAAUUGAGGAUUGAGGAUUGAGUGAAUAUAUGUGUGAUUUCUGCAGAGAAUUAGUCUAUGUGAGUGAGGGAAUUGAGGUAUCUUAUAUAGGGAGUGUACUAUAUGAGAGAAUGAGAGAGAGUGUAUAGGGGAAUCUGUCAGCCUCCCUAAAAAAUAGGAAAAGAGCAUCUUUUCUAAACAGAAAUGGACAGCUGUCCAAUUCAAAUGAUUCCUUCCUAUUUCUCCACCCCACUAACUUCUGAAUUUACCCUUUUUACCCCAAUUCUGACAUAAUUUUCCUUGUCUUAUUGCAUUUUAAUCCUUGCCUAGAAGCUUCCUACAUAACUACCUAAGAUUCCCUAUUUUUCAGAUUCCCUUAGCCCCGUCAAGUUUCUAACAACUACAAAUAAAAUACACCAAAGAAACAAGAGAUAAAAAACAGACAAACAAUAUGCUGAAACUAAAUUAAUGACCUGCUUCAAUAUCCAACUAAUUCUGGACCAAUUAACCUAAAUUUAUGCAAUUAAACUAAUUUCAUGUAAUUGGACUACUGAUUAUACAAUUAAUUGUUUAAAUCUAAGGAUGCAAACAAGUAAUUACCAAACCGGAUGCAAGAGUACAAUUAAUCCAUGAACUAAGCUAUUCUAGCAAAAACUAAAUUAAACAAGCAAAACAAUUUCAAUUAGAUGCUGAUUAAUAGACAAGACAGUGAGUAUAUGAUAGAACGAGAUGUUGGUAUACCGAUUGGAACACACACUGGAGGAGGAAAUGGCCAAACAACGAGGUUCGAACGGAUUCUGGUGGUUUCGAAAUGAAUCGAAACUAACGUAUAUCGAUUGCUCUUGUCAAGAGUAGUCGAUUCACGUAAGUUUCAAGCCAAAACGACUAGCAAAUCAUUGAGAGUCAGAGAUGGGACGAACUCAGCUUUUUCUGGAAAUCAAGAUCUAAUAUUGGGCGAGUUCUAGUGGGUUUCGAAGGGCGAGGUUAGGAUAUUUGGAAAGAGGGGGAAAUAGAGGUUGUCUGGUGUUAGUUUGGUGGUGUUUGGAGUGGUGCCGCCGGUCAGGGAUAGAUUUGGUGACUGAGGGCCGCUAGGGUUUGAGAGAGAGUGAGGAAUUAAAAAUUGUCUCUAGGGUUUGGGGUGUCUGUUCGGACAGUUAAAAGGGGAAAGGGGAUUAGUUCAGAGCCGUUGGAUAAUAGGAAAUCGACGGCUCAGAUCGAUCCAGUGCAAAACGGGGUCGUUUGGGGUGUUUAGAAGGAGCAGGUUGGAUAAUGGGGAUUGGGCUGGGCGAAUUUGGAGCAAAAACUGGGCUGCUGGUCGCUGGCCCAAUUUGAAGACAAGGCAAAUAACCCCUUUCUUUCCUUUCUUUAAAUUUUCAAAAAUAACCAAUUUAUUUAACACUCCUAAUUCUAAUUAAUUUUGCA
rnacentral:lncRNA from 1 species